CCUGCCUACACUUCUAAAGAGAGGGACAUGAACAUCCUCACAGAUCUGUGCACACACUGGGGGAAAUUCCUCAAAGCAGAAUUGCUGCCUCCGAUCAGAUUCCCAUUUUUAAGGCUCAGGGUGAUUCUCCCACCUGUCCUCGGAACCACAGCGCCAGUUUCCAGGCCGGUGUGGAAAGGCCAUCUUCAAGGGUCCCUCAAGCUGGGCGGCUGGGAGGCCCCGCCCCUCUCCUGCAGAGAAUGGGGACAAAGCCCACCGCUCUGGCCACCGUGAGGACACACAUCGCAAUGGCUGUUCCACCUGAGCCAGGCGCAGCAGGAGGCGCUGGGGGAGGCCUGCACUGCUGGCAGGAUGGGGACCUCCCCCAAGACAAGCGCUCGGUGGCUCGGAGCUCGGAACCCGAUGCUGCCCGGAUACCGUUGCUGGCACAAAGGACCUCCAGUGUACCAAGAUGGAACCAUCCCCAGGGUGAGGGUCCCCCCUUUCAGGUGACCAGUUGACUGUGGGGCCCUCGGGAAGUUGGCGAGGACACUAUGGGUCACCUUGCGGAACUGGGGCCUCAGCCCCCUCCCCAAGUCCUGCUGUCCCCCACCAACCCGGGGACCACGUGGCCCAAUGGGGACAAAGUGGGGCCUCCCACAUCCUGUGCCCUCUCUUAAAGCAUCGAAAAGAAGUCUCGGAUCAAGACUCAUGACUCCCUCACAUCAGGUCACUUAACUUCUCUCAGCCUCGUCUCCACAACUGCAGAAGUGGAAUAACGCCACACAGCUUCCUCGCUGGGGAUUUGCCAAGACUCCACGGAGAGCCUCCUCCUCCUCCUCCUCCUCCUCCUCCUUGCCCUCGGCCUCCAGAAACUCAGGCUUCUGUCCCAGAGUACCCCCAAGGACCCCACGUGGUUCACACCGCACCCCCAGCCCUGUUCACCAACAUGACCACGAUGCAGUCGGCCAUGCCCAUCCAGUUCUCGUGUCCCUACUGCGGGAACUACAUCAUCACGGUGACCCGCCCGGUCCCGGGGGUCCUCACCUGGCUGCUGUGCACGGGGCUCUGCUUGUUUGGCUCGAGCUCCUGCAUCUUUAUGAAACCGGCUCCCCACGCACCUGCCCCUCCCUCCUCCACCUCAUCCGGGCUCACGCCUGGCCCCCUGCCCUGCCUGGUUGACCAAUGACGUCCCGUUGCGAAACCCAGCAUCCACCUGCCUGGAUUCUCUGCAGCCCCUGAGCCUCAGGCUGCGGUCUUCCCUGCAGUCCGCAGGGCGCCCCGUGCGCCCUCUCUGCAAGCCCUUCACUGAUGCCCCCAGGGUGCUGUCUUGGGCCUCUUCUCGUUUGACAUCACUCCUGAGGCUUCUGUCCUCACCUCUGGCAUCCCACAGCCUCCACCCCCCCGCCCCCCAACAUUGGAUGCCCCAAGGGCCCCGCAAACCCCA
rnacentral:lncRNA from 1 species